CCUUGCACUUUACCCAAGUAACACUGAUGGCCUCCCCUUUUAAUAAGUUUAAGCAGCAACUCCUGGCUUUGUUUUCAAGGUCUUUUUUUGGGAGUUUGCAAAAUUGCUUAAAUGUGGUUACUUUGAAUAAAUUAGAGUGCUCAAAGCAGACAAAAGAAAAGUUAGGGACUUUUUUAAGUAAAAGAUUCCAACUAUUUUAAAAUGUUUGAAUAUCUUAGCAUGGAAUAACGGAAUAGGACUUUGGUUCUAUUUUGUUGGUUUCUAGGACCAGAGUAAUGAUAAAAGUGGGCGGUCGGGGGCGUAGGUAUUCAAUCGUCAGAGGUGAAAUUCUUAGAUUGAUUGAGGACCAACAAAUGCGAAGGCAUUCGCCAAGGACGUUCCAUUCGAUCAGGAGCAAAAGCCAAAUUAGCAAAAGUGAUUAGAUACCACUGUAGUUUUGGCUGUAAACGAUGCCGACAAGGGAUCGGAUGUGUCUAAAAUAAAAUUAGGGGCACAUCCGGCACCUUUAGAGAAAUCAAGAGUAUUUGGGUUCCGGGGGGAGUAUGGUCGCAAGGCUGAAACUUAAAGGAAUUGGCGGAAGGGCACCACAAGGGGUGGAGCUUGCGGCUUAAUUUGACUCAACACGGGGAAACUUACCAGGUCCAGACAUAGCAAGGAUUGACAGAUUGAUAGCGCUUUCUUGAUUCUAUGGGUGGUGGUGCAUGGCCGUUCUUAGUUCGUGGAUUGAUUUGUCUGGUUAAUUCCGUUAACGAGCGAGACCUAGACCUGCUAGUUAGUGUGGAUGGGGAUAGUGCAACCAAAAGGAAUCAAAAUUUUCUUUUUAUUACUCUCUUUCUCUAUUCACUAGAAAAGGAGAAAGAAGAAAACUUCCUGCACUUUUAAAAAGUUCAUAUAUGAAAAGAAAAGAAAAAAAAGAAAUUUCAUGUUUUUUUUUUAUCUUUUUGGAUCUUUAUGAAUAUAUCCCGUUUUGUUUUUUGCAAUAGUUGAAAAUUUUCAAUGAAUUGUGAAAAAUUUACACACUUCCUAGAGGGACAACUGGCUUUUAGCCAGCGGAAGUAUUAGGCAAUAACAGGUCUGUGAUGCCCUUUGAUGUUCUGGGCCGCACGCGUGCUACAAUGAUGAACUCAGCGAGUUUACAAGCUGGUAAAACUUGGUACAAUAAAUAUUGUUACUAAAGCCAGUAAGUAUGCCUGGGCCGAGAGGUUUGGGUAAUCUUUUCAAAGUUUAUCGUAAUGGGGAUAGACCUUUGUAAUUAGCGGUCUUGAACGAGGAAUCCCUAGUAAGUGCAGGUCAUCAGCCUGCGCUGAUUACGUCCCUGCCCUUUGUACACACCGCCCGUCACUACUACCGAUUGAGUGUGUUAGUGAGAACUUUGGAUUGAAGCCUGAUUCUAGGAAACUAGGAAUGGGCAUCAAGAAAUUUUUCAAACUACUAUGCUUAGAGGAAGUAAAAGUCGUAACAAGGUUUCCGUAGGUGAACCUGCGGAAG
rnacentral:rRNA from 1 species